AUUCCAGCUCCAAUAGCGUAUAUUAAAGUUGUUGCAGUUAAAAAGCUCGUAGUUGGAUUUCCGGCGUGAGGGAUCAGUCUGACUUCUAGUCAGUACUUGGUCCUCUCAUGCCGUCCUUGAAUGGUGCAUCCUGGCAUUAAGUUGUCGGGGUGAGAGCCGUUCAUCGUUUACUGUGAGAAAAUUAGAGUGUUCAAAGCAGGCUUAUGCCGUUGAAUAUAUUAGCAUGGAAUAAUAAGAUAGGAUCUUCGUCUAUUUUGUUGGUCGCGGACAAAGAUAAUGAUUAAUAGGGAUAGUUGGGGGUGUCUGUAUUGUGUUGUCAGAGGUGAAAUUCUUAGAUUUACACAAGACAAACUACUGCGAAAGCAUUCACCAAGGAUGUUUUCAUCG
rnacentral:rRNA from 1 species